GAUGAACGCUGGCGGCGUGCCUAAUACAUGCAAGUCGAGCGAACAGAUGAGGAGCUUGCUCCUCUGACGUUAGCGGCGGACGGGUGAGUAACACGUGGAUAACCUACCUAUAAGACUGGGAUAACUUCGGGAAACCGGAGCUAAUACCGGAUAAUAUAUUGAACCGCAUGGUUCAAUAGUGAAAGACGGUUUUGCUGUCACUUAUAGAUGGAUCCGCGCCGCAUUAGCUAGCUGGUAAGGUAACGGCUUACCAAGGCAACGAUGCGUAGCCGACCUGAGAGGGUGAUCGGCCACACUGGAACUGAGACACGGUCCAGACUCCUACGGGAGGCAGCAGUAGGGAAUCUUCCGCAAUGGGCGAAAGCCUGACGGAGCAACGCCGCGUGAGUGAUGAAGGUCUUCGGAUCGUAAAACUCUGUUAUUAGGGAAGAACAAAUGUGUAAGUAACUAUGCACGUCUUGACGGUACCUAAUCAGAAAGCCACGGCUAACUACGUG
rnacentral:rRNA from 1 species